CAGUCAUUUAGGAGCGACUCUACAUUAGAUCCUGGUGGACAGAGAAGGGUUGAUUGCACACAUUAUAAGAACCAUGUUUCACACCCAAGGACAACAUAUGAGGAAACUCCUGCCAUGCGUUUUGUUAUCAUUGGUUGUAGGCAUUGUGAUGGGGCAGCGCAGCGUCAGCAGCAAAAGGGAUUGUUCUACAGAGGAAUACUGGAGCGACGGGCUCUGCUGUGACAAAUGUGCUCCAGGGUAUAAGUUGAUAAGGAAAUGCUCUAGUGUCAUGGCAUCGCAAUGUGAGAAAUGUUCGAAAGGGACAUACCUAGACAAGAUGAACUAUUUCCCAAACUGCUUCAGAUGCGAGAAAUGCACCAAGCGGAAUGCGGUGGUGAUUUCACCAUGUACACCCCAAAAU